GUCAAUUCAAAACCCCUGAGGAAAAGCAAAACAGAUAAUGCUCAUGAAGCUUAAUAAAAGCCUAGUCCUCUCUCUCCUACUUCUCUCCUGCUGGUUGAGAACGCUUGCUAUCUCUGCGCUUCCUGUUGGCUGUUGUGAACAUCCUUUUUUCUUGUGGAUUUUGACAAUCCUUUGAAGUCAUGAAUAUACAAGAGCAUGAAUAAGAGAAGAAAAGAUGGAAGAUAAAAAGCAGAAGGAUGCAGAGCAUAUCAAUAGCUGGGACCUGAAUUAGCACCAUAUGGAGCAGAGUUCUCUUCCAGCUAACCAAGGGCACUUCAUCACCAAAGCAACAAGAUGUGGAGCAUGAGCAGUUCAACCUUUGAAGAUAACUCAGACUAAUUUGGCCAGCCUCUCCGUCUGAGGGUCUGAGAUCAUAAGAAGGUUUGGGAAAAGAGAAAGUUGUCAUUAAAUUGACAUCAAACAACCAGAAGACAACUUGGGAAAAAGCAGGAAUUUAUGUCCUUCAGCUUUUGCUAAGAUAUUCAUGCCAUGAUAUUUGGCCUAUAUUCCCUUCCAAUUGAGGACCUCUUCUCAUGGAGAAAAAAGUUAAGAACAAGAGAAGAAAACUGCCUUGCUCAAGUACACAUAGGAUAAAACUAAGUGACUGAGCUGGAAUACCAACAGCAGCCUAAUAACUUUAAUUCAGUGAUUUUUCCACCAAAGACUCAACAGCAACUGAUAAAAAAAAAAGGCUGUAUGAAGACCCAGAAACCUUCGGACCUGAGAGAAAAUUAAUUUAUGUUGUUAAAGUCACCUAGUCUGUGGUGUUCUAUUGUAGCAGUUUAAGCUGACUAAUAGACUUACAAAGAUCUUUGUGGUAGCAAAAUCUCAGUUCAGUGAGCAAACUCUGUGUGAUCAGCUGUAUUUUCUCAGGCAAAAUGAUUCAGUGUGACUUGUCUCCUCUUCCUGCCUCAUUUCCUAGUCUGGAAUCAGACAGACACUGCCAAGAUCUCUUUACUUAAUUGGCUCAGAACUGAAACACAGAGUAUCUAGGGGAGUUAAGAGGAAAGCCUGGGGGAUGUAAAGAAAGAGUCACUUUCUGCCCCUGUGUCUCUGCUCAUGAAGGAGGAGGGGUCAACUUUUCAGGUGGUUGGGAAGAUGCCCAGGAAGGACAUAACUGGAAUCUGAAAUUUCUUAAAAAUGGCCAUAUCCUUGAAUGUUGAAAACCUCAGAGAGAGACCCAGAAGAUAUUUCAGGUCUAUGAACACCCUAUAUUUGUCACUGAUAUUAGACAACCUACCCUAGCAUAGUUUCCUAGCCAACCGGAAGAGAUAAUAUGGAACCCACAGGAAUAUUUUUUUAUAAAAUAGACAAGCAGAUUGACUCAGACCUCUUUCCUCUGGGCCCCUCUCUAGUUUCCAAGAUAGAAUUCUAAGGUGGAUGGAAUGGUGGAUACCUCCAAGUAGGAGACCCCUAGACCCUUCUUACUAUGCUAGCCACAUGAGAGAAGACAAAGAGUAUGAUUCUACAAAACUAAACGUUAAAAAGAAGAAUCAGAUGGAUUACUCUUCAUGACCACAGAAGACUUUUUACCUUUUCACAGAUCACAUGGUAUGUGAAAGGGUUAGUCUUUUAGCUUUGUGGCAUAAUUUUAGCACAGCUUGUCUUUGGUAUGAGUAGUUAGUAUUGUAAUAUAGAACACAUGUUAACAUUAUGCACUGAAAGAGUAAUAAUAUUGUAUUAGUCUGUUCUCACAUUGAUAUAAAGAACUACCUCAGACUGGAUAAUUUAUAAAGAAAAGAGAUUUAAUUGACUCACAAUUCCACAGGCUGUACAGGAAACAUGGCUGAGGAGGCCUAAGGAAACUUACAGUCACGGCAGAACACAAAUGGGAAGUAGGCAUGUCUUACAUGGCCAGAGAAGAAGGAAGAGAGAGAAGGACAAAGUGCUACACACUUUUAAACAAUCAGCUCUCAUGAGAACUUACUCACUACCACGAGAACAGCAAGGGAGAAGUCCGCCCCCAUGAUCCAAUCACCUUACAACAGGCCCCUCCUCCAAUAUUGGGGAUUACAAUUGGACAUUAGACUUGGGCAGGGACAUGAAUCCAAACCAUAUCAAAUAUUGUAUUGAGAUGGUUCAGUUCACCUAUGUGCUGAUCAUUUUGCCAUAGUGUCUUACAUAAGCCAUAGAAAAUUCCAGGAUAUUGUGGCUCUCUGCUAUUUUUGCAUGCUAACAUUCAUUCAUUCUGACCCUGUUUUAAAAACCUCAGUUUCCUUCUGGGAAGCUAUCUCUUUUCCACUUUGUUCUUUAACUUUCUGUGGGUGGAUGGUAGAAGUGAAGCAUGAGACAAGUCUGAGCCAAUCAGCAGAUCAUAAACAAUAUGGAUGAUGAAGGUAUUUUCCCUGAAACUUCUCAGGAGGAAGCACUCCUAUUUUCCUCUGUGCCUGAACUGAGAUAUACACCUAAGAAUUGCUGGUUUGGGUUGAUUAUCUAAGAGAAUAAACUGCUUAAAAUUAGUCAGAAAAGGGUAAAGUGAGGCUACAAAGUAAAGAGAGAAAUUGGAUCCAGGCAAUGUUGUUUGAAUCCUGGAUCAAGCCUCAUCUGAAUUCAAUGUCUAUCUUUGAUCUGUUCAGUUAUGUAACAUUUUUUAGAAAGUCCGAUUAAGCCAGUGUAGGCCAGGUCUUUGGCAUUUGCAACAGAAUCCUCACUGCAGCAUUUCAUGUUACACGUGAGUCCCUGAAUCUUAUGGAAGUUAAAUAAUUUAACCUAAAGCAAUAUUUAUAUUAAGUAACAGAAAUGCUAAACCCCAUACACAAACACUUGGAGAACUUGGAUGCAAUACUCCCCAUGUCUGAGCUGAAGAUAAGAUAUUUUACCAUGAACUGGCUCAUGGAAGCAAUGAAAAGAAACACAUUUUGAAGAACAUUGGUCUGACAUUUACUUUUGUUUUUCACAUAAUGAGUACAUGUCAAAGUAGGAUUCCAUCCUGAGUCUCACCAACUCUAUAGCAAAUACCCUACUGUAUUUUUUUAUGUAACAGAAGUAAGAAUAACAUUCUAUGUCACAGAGAAAUUGAUUAUUUCUCAAUAAAGCCAAUAUAAGAACAGGUGAAGCAUAGGGGGAAAGGUUAGAAUUGCUCUAUGAUUAAAGUUUGUUGGCCUGAAACAGACAUGCUAUAGAAAGUUGUGAGAGCUGCCUUCAGGAAUGUGUGACAUAGAUCCUCCUUCCUUAAACCACCAGGAAACAGACAAAGAGACUGGUUAUGGAAAGAAUCUGGGCCUUGGUGAGAGAUAGUAGAAAGGACGUGGCCAUUGGUAUUAAUUGAAAUAUAUAACAUGUCUUCCUAAGCUAUUUUCUCCCCAAAUAUGUUCCUUGCAGUACUGCUGUUUGACAUGCUCUCUAAACAUAUUUUUUAUUGUAAUCCACAGAAAUUGACUAUAUAAAGGAAAAGAGGAAGGUAUUGAGGGACAGUCAUUAGCACCUAAGUUGACAGUGGGCUGAGGUUCUGCCUUGGCUAAUGGCCAGAUCCAAUAGUGGCUAGAAGCACUAUAAGGUCACUGCCGAACAGCCUUGUGAGUGGGAAGCUACUGCCUGCCACUGGAUACUAACUACCACUACUACCACUCAGUGGUCAUCAGAUGUUGUCAGCACUGCAGAGGAAAAUUCUAUAUUGUCCUGCUUGCUUUCUUUUAUCAUUGGUUCCCGAUUCAGAGUUUCUUGUAGGAGAAUCCUAUUGGCCAAGCUUAAGUCACUUCACCAAAAUCCAACUGCUUUUUCUCGAGGAAAAAAAAAAAUGUCAGGUAUUUUUGGCUUCUAUGAUGUGAGGAAGAUCUUUAAUCCAUGUAUAGAUUUACCCCAAAUUAUCUUCUUUAAACAUAAAAAUGAGCAAGUGAGUAAGCAACAAAUAUCUGCUCCACCCAGAAAAAUGUUCUUUAGAAAACAAACAAAAAGCACAAAAAAUGGGAAGUACUGUUUACCAUAAUUUUAUCUUGGAGAUUCACAAUUUAUUUAAGUGGUCAAAAUCUCUGAGAAUUCUUACUGCACAACAAACAAAAAACCCUGUUAUUUUUAGAAUUUGUCAUUCAACAAACUUAUUUGAACAUGAUACCUUUGAUUAUAGAAUAUUUGAAUAUCUCUCGUAUUUUUCCUCAAGUUGUAAUUUGAGAAAAGUUGUCUUGAGCCUUCUCCAGAUGUCUUAUCUAUGUCCUCCCCCAGCCUUUUAUAAACAUACCCCGAGAUGGCAAACUAAAUGCAGGAGCUAAAAAGUCUCAUGUUCCCCUUUCAAACUAUGGUUAUAUUUAAUACCAGAGUCUUUUAGAAUCCAUUCACAGGACUUGAAUCCUGGAUCUGAGUUUGCAAAAGAAAUGAAGCUAAUGAAAGACAAGGAACUUCUGGUCUUAGUUGAGAUGCAAAAAGAAUUUCAAGGAGAAGUCAAGGAACAAAAAACAAUGGCCAAAAUCAUGAACUCCAUGAAUUUCAUCCACCAUAUAAUAAGGUAGAUGAUAUUCAUUUCCCACCAGGUGAAAGCUCUCAAGUCUGGAAGUCCUAAAUCAAGCUGAGGGCUGAGCCACGCUUCUUCCAAAGCUUCCAGGAGAGGACCCUUCUUUGCCUCUUCCAGCUUCUGGAAAACAUUUCCAUCUGGCUUUCCUCUGUCUGACUUAAACAAUGAUUUUCCAUCCUACCUGAACAUUAUAAUCAUCUGGAAGAGUUUUUUAAAAUACAGAUGCUAUUGCUACACCCAUGGAGCUUGUGUCUUACCAUCUGAUAUGGUUUGGCUGUGUCCGCACUCAACUCUCAUCAUGAAUUGUAGUUCCCGUAAUCCCCAUGUGUCAUGGGAGAGGCCUAGUGGAAGGUAAUUGAAUUAUGGGGAAGGUUACCUCCAUGCUGCUGUUCUCAUGAUAGUGAGUGAGUUCUCAAGGGAUCUGACGGUUUUAUAAGGGGCUUUUCCCUCUUUGCUCUGCACUUCUGCCUGCUCCCACCACAUAAAGAAAGAUAUCUUUGCUUCCCCUUCCGCCAUGAGUGUAAGUUUCCUGAGGCCUCCCCCGCCAUGCUGAACUGUGAGUCAGUUAAACUCUUUCCUUUAUAAAUUACCUAGUCUAUGGUAUGUCUUUAUUAGCAGCAUAAGAAUGGACUAAUACAGCAUCUGUGAUUCUAUUCCAGUUUAGGAUGAGAUCCCCUGGUCUCUAAGAUGCUUCAAGAUAGCAGAUCCAGCAUUAACUCCUUCAAGUGUGAAAUCCUGACAG
rnacentral:lncRNA from 10 species